GUUAGGGACGAUUGUAGUCAUCAUUACGGUGGGUAAGUUAAAAUGUUAUUAUAGCUACAAGCACCAUCGGCCCGCCCACCCUUUGCUGCAUCCAGCUAGGCAUCCUUGGCAUUCUUUUCAAACGCCGUCAUCUACCUUCCCUCUGUAGGCGGACACCUCAGCUAGGACAUAAAGAGGUGACUUCCAGUUACGACCCAGUUUACAAGUGUAUGUCAUUCUGGACUACAUGAAGGAAUACACCUUUAACACUUACAUCAAGACCAUCCACCUCUUCGUUCAUCAGAGCAACAAUAGCCUGUCCAAUCACGCUCAUAGACAUGUAAAUGACGUGUACGAGGAUAAUACAGUCGCCUGGUCUGCGAUUAUAGUCA